UUGCCAUUUGUGGCCCGUUUCGUCUCUAGACGAAUCGACGUAGUUCCGUUCGCUCGUUGAAACCUGCUCAUCAUCUCUGCUUGUUUCAAGUGUGACAGCGUCGAGAGCAAAUACUUCACAUUGAACUCUUCAGCGUUCACUCUCUGUCAUAGAGUGCCGGCUCAUCAGCAGAGAACAUGUCCAAUGAACACGUUUUGAAAGGAUGAAUGGAAGAUGGGUGAGGAGAAGCAAGGAGACGAAUGUCUACAGCAUGGGAGUCACCCUGGUGGAGCUGCGCGCAUGCAUCUGUCUACACGGCUCCUGAACGAAUGGACGGGAGAUCACCAAGUAAAAGAAAAGAGGCGGACGUCUACCCUGAUGGAGCUGUUCACUGGUCAACACCAGCCAGGUCACAGAGAUCGCCAAGUGCA